CCGCGGCCCCGCGGCGGGCAGCGCGCCUGCUCCUGCCCGCGGCACCUGCUCGGGAGGGAGACGUCGCAGCGCGUGUGGCACCUUCGCGGGCUGCCGGCUCGAACCCCGCCGUUUCGGAGGCGAUGGCAGGCUUGUGGUGCUAGUGACCAGAGGAGGUGGAUGCUUGGGAUCGAGGGCCAGCUCUGCGGACGCGGAGGCCAGGACCCAGUCUGGCAGAGGCACCCAUGUGGCAUGUUAUCCUCUGCAUUUGUGAUUUGCAAGGACAUCAGAUGCAGAUGGAGGUAAGAGCAGCACUUGUCGAGUUUGCGGAAUCACCUGUUUCAAUCCAGACACUGGUCACGUGACAUUAUUG
rnacentral:lncRNA from 1 species